UGUGCAAAACUUCUUGGCCCAGUUAUAAAUUGACAUUUUCCUUUAAGCCCAAUUUUGUUACAAUCCAAGCUGGGCUGGCCCAUUUAGAAAAUAGUCACAAACAAUAUAAUAACAAUUACUAAUUACACAAUAAUGACCUUACAUAAUUGGUGCUCCAAACAUAACAUUUCAUAUAUGUAUCAUAAAUGGGCAUACAAAAUGGCUCCAUAAACUAACAUACAGUACUAGCUAUAUUUUUUCACUAAACAAGUUAAUUUGUUCCAGCUAUUUAUGUGGCCACCCUGCAGCAAGGAAGGCAGCUUGCAGCCGCUGCACACGUUUCUGUGGCUACCCUGCACCACUGAAGACAACUUGCAGUCGCUGCAUACCAACUGGUUACUCAUGCCUGCAAUUAGUAAACACCAAUGUGAUACAGGUGAGUGGUGAUGCAGCUAGUAGACAUGUAAUACGAAGUGUAGAACUUAUAAUAUGAUACUGGUUAUGCAGUCAAGUGCUAAAAGGCAAUUCAUAGCUUUCACUAAAACUGUUAUCUAGAUAGUAUAUGAUUUCCCCCUACUAGCUGCCAUGGUAUAGGUGGAUGACUUUUCAGUUUACGAAAAAAAGCAUGCAGAAUAUUUUAAAGAAGCAUGGAGACGCAUAUACUUGGUGCCCGGGAUCAAGUAACAUAUAUAUGAAGAUGUCAUUUAUCUUGGGGUAAAAUCAAAGCACAUUAGUUAGAAAAAAUUUCAGAAAGCAGUAGGUACAAUGCUGAAAUAAUGUGACAUAGUACAUCAGAUUUGAUCAUUACUAUCUGAACCCUGAAUUGCAACAAAUUCAGAUGGUGAAACAAUUAAUAAAUGUACAUGUAUAUACAAUAGGCAUCGAUAUAUGUUUUCCUCUACAGAAUGACCAUACAACAGAAAAUCAAGUCAUUCUUCUAGUCAUGAAACAACCAAAAAAACUAAAUGAAAAUUGUUUUUACUAACCUAUCUACAAUUCAAGAUGCAGCAUAUAUCCUUCUCGUGUAAAAGCAGUAGCUUUAGUGUUGCAAUUUUAACACAUAAAUUCAGUUUAUAAUAGUAUUUAAAUUUCUAAAACAGUAGCUUUCAAGGAAAAGCUUGCGGACAGUUCAAUCCAUGGUGUUAGCUUGUUUCUCACUUACAGGGCAGUAGUGUCUACUACGAUAGCGAUUAUCCUUUGGCUAUCUAAACACUAUCACCAAUUUUACUGUUUGCAACUGUAUAUACAUGUUAUCUUGUCGACAUAACAUUAAAAAGUAUAACAAAGGGUCACUGCUAAUCUGCGGCCACACCACUUUCCAUGGUGUGCAAGUUCGAAAAAUGCAUACCUAGUCCAAAUGGCUUGCAGAAAUGAAUGGGAGCCCUUCAGUUGCAGUUACUGAUUGUGCUGGUGUUGCAGAUGAAGUCGAAGACUAGACCACAGUGCCAUGGCGAAGCGUGCAGAUAAUCUUCGCGUCCAUUGGGGCAGCAUCCGCACGCCGGCGACCGGCAGCAUUGGGCCCUCAAAGCCAUGAAUGCGCCGCGGAUCUCGCCGGAGCCAUUGAUGGUGAUGCCCUUGAGGAUGAACUUCCUAGCACAGAUCAGGUAUUCUCUCGCGUGGAUCUGGGCUGUGCUCGCUGGUGCCACCUCAUCACAGCUGGAUCCGUCUUCCAGGACCUACAAUACCAUUAACGAAGGAGCCGUCAGCGCCACAAGCAUCAUUAUGUCACCAUCGAUGGUGUGGACGAGGCUUGGAUUGGUGAGCCCUCACGCCACCCUAGCCGAGCCACCGACCCUUCACGCCCUAAGCGAAAUGGCCAUGCUGCUGCUUCGUGGCCUUGGGCGGGUGGCUGCGUCAAGGAGGCCGGACGCUCUACUACUCCGAUGCGCUGCCAACCAUGGCCACCUCGCUCUCCUCCCUCACUGCUGGGAACAGGAGAUAGGGUGCGGCUCAGAGUGGCAGAUGGGGUGCGAGGGCUGCGGAAAGGGAAUUGUGGCUAGGAUUUCGAUAGCCUAGUAUAUAUUAGGCGUGGGCGUAUUUCUAUCCAUCCGAUCGUAAAUCAAUGGCCAUAAAACCAUGGGCCGAACAGGCCAUUACUGAAGGGCAGUUGGGCUAUUGGGCUCAACACCUAAUUUUUAUAUUUUUUUCUUCCUUUUUAGCUGUAGGCGGAGGUGCACGCUGGGAUUCCAAACUUUGGUGUGCGCGGGGUUCUAAAUUUUGGUAUGCGCGGGAACUAAUUUGGGGUUGGCUGCAUACAAAAUUUUUAUAGUAUCAUAAGUGACCUUAAAUGAAUGUAAAUUAAAAAAAAAUUAACUACAA
rnacentral:lncRNA from 1 species